rnacentral:rRNA from 1 species
CAGCCGCCGCGGUAAUACAGAGGGUGCGAGCGUUAAUCGGAUUUACUGGGCGUAAAGCGUGCGUAGGCGGCUUUUUAAGUCGGAUGUGAAAUCCCUGAGCUUAACUUAGGAAUUGCAUUCGAUACUGGGAAGCUAGAGUAUGGGAGAGGAUGGUAGAUUUCCAGGUGUAGCGGUGAAAUGCGUAGAGAUCUGGAGGAAUACCGAUGGCGAAGGCAGCCAUCUGGCCUAAUACUGACGCUGAGGUACGAAAGCAUGGGGAGCAAACAGGAUUAGAUACCCCCGUAGUCCCUGUCUCUUAUAA